CCUACGGGAGGCAGCAGUAGGGAAUAUUGCUCAAUGGGGGAAACCCUGAACCAGCAACGCCGCGUGGAGGAUGAAGGUUUUAGGAUUGUAAACUCCUUUUUUUAGAGAAGAUUAUGACGGUAUCUAACGAAUAAGCACCGGCUAAGUCCGUGCAAGCAGCCGCGGUAAUACGGAGGGUACCAGCGUUACUCGGAAUCACUGGGUGUGAAGAGUGCGUAGGGGGGUUAAUAAGUCAGAUGUGAAAUCGUGUGGCUUAACUAGAGAACUGCAUUUGAAACUGUUACGCUUGAGUGUCGGAGAGGUAGGUGGAAUUCGUGGUGUAGGGGUGAAAUGCAUAGAGAUCAAGAAGAAGACUGAUUGCGAAGGCAGCUUGCUGGAGCAUAACUGACGCUGAUGCACGAAAGCGUGGGGAGCAAACAGGAGUAGAUACCCGGGUAGUC
rnacentral:rRNA from 1 species